CUGGCGGCAGGCCUAACACAUGCAAGUCGAACGGUAGCACAGAGGAGCUUGCUCCUUGGGUGACGAGUGGCGGACGGGUGAGUAAUGUCUGGGAAACUGCCCGAUGGAGGGGGAUAACUACUGGAAACGGUAGCUAAUACCGCAUAACGUCGCAAGACCAAAGAGGGGGACCUUCGGGCCUCUUGCCAUCGGAUGUGCCCAGAUGGGAUUAGCUAGUAGGUGGGGUAACGGCUCACCUAGGCGACGAUCCCUAGCUGGUCUGAGAGGAUGACCAGCCACACUGGAACUGAGACACGGUCCAGACUCCUACGGGAGGCAGCAGUGGGGAAUAUUGCACAAUGGGCGCAAGCCUGAUGCAGCCAUGCCGCGUGUAUGAAGAAGGCCUUCGGGUUGUAAAGUACUUUCAGCGAGGAGGAAGGCGUUGUGGUUAAUAACCGCAACGAUUGACGUUACUCGCAGAAGAAGCACCGGCUAACUCCGUGCCAGCAGCCGCGGUAAUACGGAGGGUGCAAGCGUUAAUCGGAAUUACUGGGCGUAAAGCGCACGCAGGCGGUCUGUCAAGUCGGAUGUGAAAUCCCCGGGCUCAACCUGGGAACUGCAUCCGAAACUGGCAGGCUAGAGUCUUGUAGAGGGGGGUAGAAUUCCAGGUGUAGCGGUGAAAUGCGUAGAGAUCUGGGAGGAAUACCGGUGGCGAAGGCGGCCCCCUGGACAAAGACUGACGCUCAGGUGCGAAAGCGUGGGGAGCAAAACAGGAUUAGAUACCCUGGUAGUCCACCGCCGUAAACGAUGUCGACUUGGAGGUUGUGCCCUUGAGGCGUGGCUUCCGGAGCUAACGCGUUAAGUCGACCGCCUGGGGAGUACGGCC
rnacentral:rRNA from 1 species